UCAUUCAUGUUAUGAUUACACGGCAUUGGCAGCUCCGUGUUUGUCGUGGAGGAAAAAUCGUAAGAAAAUAGGAAAUACUCACGAUUAUGAAUGCUAAAGAUGAACAAGUGAGCCGAAGCUAUAUUGAUCUGCUCUCUAGAUGGCAAUUAAUGAACGACUAUGUCAAAAUACACCAGCUAGUGCCCUCUCUGCGGACGGUCUGGUUUUGCUAUAAACUCCGUCAGUUCUCGCUUCGUCUGCUGCAUGCAGGCAGUUGGACCAUGUCCGGGUGUGAAUAAACUAGGGGAAACUAUAGCAUGAUACAUACAACCAACGUUUGCAACUGAGCAAGUCAUGGAUCCCAAGUCAUUAUGUAACUGUCAGUGUCACAAAGUGGGCACAUUUCCAGGAAAGGAAUCUGCUUUUAGAGAACUGCUGCAUGCCCACCUUGGAGUACUGAUACUUUUUAGGCCUCGUCUUGUCAGAUGAAUGGGUAGUCGACUGCUCUGCAAUUAAGGAAUGGAGUUCUUGAUUCAAGAGAGACAAAUCUGUGACAGAAUCAAGAUUCAAGCGUAUAUAAUUGUGGAAGAGAUAUUUUGCUGUUUUGCAGAGAAAGUCUCAAGAGAAAAGGAAAAGAUGGAACAUCAUAUUAACUGUCAAUCAAGAAAGACGUAUGUGAAGAACUGUACUCUACAUUUUGCUGCAAAGUUCCACCACAAUCACAAUUUAAUGUCGACAUGUAUCAUACCAUACCAUUACAGAGAUUGACUUUCAAGAUGAGUUAGCUUUUUCAACCCUGAGGGAGCUGUGUGCAUACUCUUAGCAACCGAUGCUUUUGGACUGGGGUUGAUGUUUGUAAUUAUGUUGAACACCAAGAUGAAAAUGUACACCUAAGUGGAAGAGUUGGGCGAGAUGAGCAACAUGGUCUUUCAACUGCCAUAAACUAUCUAAGACACAGAUAAUCAGAUGAAAACUGCAUUGCACCCCACAAUGUAGAAGAGUGGUCGUAGGCUCAGCCACUCACACAAGUACAUAGUACAAACAGUAUUGUGUAUAACUGCUGUGAUACCUGUGCACUUUAAAUGCUGCUGUGGGAAAGCCUGUGAUUGGCGACUAGUGGUACGCACUACGAUUGAUGUCGAAAUCGCAAAUAGUUAUUGCUUAGUCGAGUUGCGACUGCCAUUAUUCACCUACUCCGUAAAUCAAGCCACCACAACAACUAAAAUAGUUGCGACUAUUCCUGCUUGCUGAAAAAAUUGUGUCGCUCACAGUCACAACUUUUCACGACAACAUAAUUUACCUAUGAAACACAACCAGACAUCAGUAAGCCUGGGCCACUAGUGUAAGUUACUACUCGACUAGUCACACCUCAAAAAGUCAUGACUACGACACUAGUCACGACUUGUUUGCCGCAGGGGCAAUAUGGUAAAUUUCGUGCUUAGAGGAUUGAAGGAUUGUCACUGGUGUCACUGACUGUGUUUCGUAAGUAAAUUAUGUUGCCAUGAAUAGUCGUGAGCGAUACAAUAGACAGUUCACCAAACAGGAAGUUGUUACUAUUUUUGUAGUACACGAUUAUUCAAUUAGGAAUUUAAAAAAGUAGUCGCAACACGACUAGUGAUUUUAAUAAUCUCGACUGUGCGACAAGUUUGACAGUGUGUCGCACUAGUCGCCCAGCCCUAGAUAUAAAGUGAUAUAAAGUGACACAAUCCUUAAAUCCUUUCAGCGUGAGUUUUACUCUAUUGCACCUGCAGCAAAUAAUACGCCGUAAUGCAUUUUGGGGCAUGAAAAAUUACUAGUGUGUUGAAGUUGCGACUAUUUGAGGCACGAAUAGUUGAGAAGCAAAUUUCACUACCGGUAGUCGCUCAGGCUUUAAUUGUGGGGUAUUCUUGUUAUAGCCUGUUUACAAACCUGAUCAUUUUAAUAGCCACUGUUCUGUGAAGAAUUUGUGUUUGGCAAUAAAGAAAUCAAUUUUA